rnacentral:tRNA from 1 species
UCCCUGGUGGCUUAGACGGUAAAGCGUCUGCCUACAAUGUGGGAGACCUGGGUUCAAUCCCUGGGUCGGGAA